UGCAGUCGAACGCGAAAGUCACUUCGGUGGCGAGUAGAGUGGCGGACGGGUGAGUAACGCGUGGGAAUCUACCUUGUAGUGGGGGACAACCCGAGGAAACUCGGGCUAAUACCGCAUACGUCCUACGGGAGAAAGGGGGCCUCUGAUUCAAGCUCCCGCUACAAGACGAGCCCGCGUCGGAUUAGCUAGUUGGUAGGGUAAAAGCCUACCAAGGCAACGAUCCGUAGCUGGUCUGAGAGGAUGAUCAGCCACACUGGGACUGAGACACGGCCCAGACUCCUACGGGAGGCAGCAGUGGGGAAUAUUGGACAAUGGGCGCAAGCCUGAUCCAGCAGCCGCGGUAAUAC
rnacentral:rRNA from 1 species